GUGCGCACAGAGCUUCACCAGAUAUCCAGUUCAUAUCAGAUCACGAGGCUGGUCCUUCCGAGCCUGUUGGUGGCACAUCGGCUGCUCCUAAGCCCCAGUCUGGACAUCGUCAUGGUCAUUCUUCUUUCAAACUGGAGGAUGAUCAGUUGGAGUUUAUAGCAUAGAGGGUUGCUAGUCUUAUUAUGUCAGGCCGAGGAUCUGCUUAGGAGGAGAACUCAUACUCAG
rnacentral:lncRNA from 1 species